UACGUAGGGAGCGAGCGUUAUCCGGAUUCACUGGGUGUAAAGGGAGCGUAGACGGCCAUGCAAGCCAGGGGUGAAAGCCCGGGGCCCAACCCCGGGACUGCCCUUGGAACUGCAUGGCUGGAGUGCGGGAGGGGCAGGCGGAAUUCCUGGUGUAGCGGUGAAAUGCGUAGAUAUCAGGAGGAACACCGGCGGCGAAGGCGGCCUGCUGGACCGCGACUGACGUUGAGGCUCGAAAGCGUGGGGAGCGAACAGG
rnacentral:rRNA from 1 species